UAGGGAAUCUUCCACAAUGGACGCAAGUCUGAUGGAGCAACGCCGCGUGAGUGAAGAAGGUUUUCGGACUGUAAAGCUCUGUUGUUGGUGAAGAAGGAUAGAGGUAGUAACUGGCCUUUAUUUGACGGUAAUCAACCAGAAAGUCACGGCUAACUACGUGCCAGCAGCCGCGGUAAUACGUAGGUGGCAAGCGUUGUCCGGAUUUAUUGGGCGUAAAGCGAGCGCAGGCGGAAGAAUAAGUCUGAUGUGAAAGCCCUCGGCUUAACCGAGGAAUUGCAUCGGAAACUGUUUUCUUGAGUGCAGAAGAGGAGAGUAGAACUCCAUGUGUAGCGGUGGAAUGCGUAGAUAUAUGGAAGAAUACCAGUGGCGAAGGCGGCUCUCUGGUCUGCAACUGACGCUGAGGCUCGAAAGCAUGGGUAGCGAACAGG
rnacentral:rRNA from 1 species